rfam:Poecilia formosa, whole genome shotgun sequence.
UGUUAAAGCAUUGCACCCAGAGUCUGGGCAACCAGACAUCGUACCUGGAGCUUUUCCCUUUUCUUUCUUUUUUAUU